rnacentral:lncRNA from 1 species
UCGGUUGUCUGACUCAUCGACGACGUAACAUCCCACCCACACUUUCUUUUGCGGCCUUCCUGUUUGUUUGUUUGUUUUUUUUUUUAAAUCUUCUGACUUUGUGUUUUUGUUUUCCCCUCUGCCUCAUGGGGGAACGUGUCACUGGAACGCUCCGCGUGGGCACCGCGGGGCGUUCUAGAAGGCGCUUCCAAAUCGGAAUGGAUGUACCUUCACCCCUAAGCGUCGGACGUAUCGCGGUAGGUCUCGCGUCCGGAGCCGAGCACCUCUCAACUCCGAAGCCACCAUUCUUUUAUAUAUACAUAUAUAUAUCGACAGGUGAUGGUCGCGGGCACUUCUAAUCUUUUAUAGAUUAAAACCAUCUGAAUCCUUCUCCGAUAAUCCUCUUCCCCCAUAUAUAACGCCGGGAUUCAAGCCAGAGAUCCCGGCCACUCGCCUACCAAUGGGCUCCUCCAGCGCCGCACAAAGUCCGCUCUCGCUGGAUCGCAUCGCCAAAUACCACGCCGACGGUUCUUCCAGGUGCUGCUCUCCGUGUCCAUGUAUCACGGCGGGCCCGUCCGGUCACGGCUUCCUGCCAGAUGCGUGCACGGCGGUCUGCACGCGUCUUCAAAUCGUGACAAGGUCAAAUUUCCACGCAUAAUGGUUACCGCCUCUCCCUCUUUUUCUUUCUUUUUUUUUUUUAAAUAAAGCAUAAAGGUUGCCUAAUUAUUAAUUUUUUAGGUAGUCAGGUUGCUUAAUUAUUUAAAUAAAAAAUCAUCCUAUCACGGUCUGCUAGCAUCAGUAGCAGUCGAGAAGUCGCGAUUAAAGAGGGCUAUCGGAGCUGGCUGAUGUGAGUUGCGAAGAUAACCGGGCUUAGAUAGCUUUCAUGGUCUUAUUUUAGUCAUUCUGCAUGGAGCUAGUGGUCUUAAUCUCCGCCAAUGAAUAUGAAUUAACACGUGUAAUUAAGAUAAUUUGACUGCUAUUUUAUCUUUAUGUCUUGAUUGGGAGGAAAGAACAGAAUAGAAAAAAAAAAAAAGAAUGGAAGGAGAAGUUUGUAAGUUAUUAUUAUUUUUUGGUUGAGAAUUUUUUUAUAAAAAAAUAAAAAAAAAGGAGAAAAAUGAAGGGAAUGUAAAUUCUUUCAAAUUCAUAAUUUUUUUUUUCAAAUCAAACAAAAUUAAAGAAAAAAAUUAAAAAUUAUGAAUCUUUUAUAAUUUUUAUUUUAUUUUUUAAUAAUAAAAAAUAAAAUUAAUAUUAUAUUUUAAUCUUAAGAUUUAUUUCAAACAUCCCACCUAAGUCUUCCAUCCGAUUCAAAUUUUUUAGAUGAAAAAAAUUAACAAAA